CAAUAAAAAAAAAUCUGUAUUUAUUUUUAUACGUAAUAUUAUCUUUUACAGUAAAUUAAUUAUAAUAUAUUUUCUAUCAAUUUUUUUUAUUUUUGAUGAGUAAAUUUACAAUAAUAAAGCGUAAAAAAAAAUUUGUUUUUAACUACGUUUUAGGCUUCGUUUGGAAUAAAAUAUAAUGUUUGUUGUUUCCGUACGUAAUAUUACGUUUCACAUAUCGCGAUGAGUCGGUUACGAUAUAUUUUUUGCGGUUCAUCAGAGAACAUAAAAGCAUAUCACUAUAUGGCUAGCAUUAGAUAGGAUAAUCUAGUAGUAGUAUAUUGGGAUAUUUUUA
rnacentral:lncRNA from 1 species